AGAGUUUGAUCAUGGCUCAGAAUGAACGUUGGCGGCGUGCCUAACACAUGCAAGUCGAGCGUGAAAGUUCCUUCGGGAACAAGUAAAGCGGCGAACGGGUGAGUAACGCGUGGGAAUCUGCCUUUUAGUGAAGGAUACCUUCGAGAAAUUGAAGUUAAUACUGCAUACGUCCCUUCGGGGAGAAAGAUGGCCUCUUUGCUGUCGCUAGAAGAUGAGCCCGCGUACUAUUAGUUAGUUGGUGGGGUAAAGGCCUACCAAGACGAUGAUGGUUAGCCGGCCUGAGAGGGUGUACGGCCACAUUGGGACUGAGAUACGGCCCAGACUCCUACGGGAGGCAGCAGUGAGGAAUCUUGCGCAAUGGGGGAAACCCUGACGCAGCGACGCCGCGUGGAGGAUGAAGGUUUUAGGAUUGUAAACUCCUGUUAAGCGGGAAGAAACGUGUUGGUUUAAUACACCAACAUAAUGACGGUACCGCU
rnacentral:rRNA from 1 species